rnacentral:rRNA from 1 species
GAUGAACGCUGGCGGCGUGCCUAAUACAUGCAAGUCGAGCGAACGGACGAGAAGCUUGCUUCUCUGAUGUUAGCGGCGGACGGGUGAGUAACACGUGGAUAACCUACCUAUAAGACUGGGAUAACUUCGGGAAACCGGAGCUAAUACCGGAUAAUAUUUUGAACCGCAUGGUUCAAGAGUGAAAGACGGUCUUGCUGUCACUUAUAGAUGGAUCCGCGCUGCAUUAGCUAGUUGGUAAGGUAACGGCUUACCAAGGCAACGAUGCAUAGCCGACCUGAGAGGGUGAUCGGCCACACUGGAACUGAGACACGGUCCAGACUCCUACGGGAGGCAGCAGUAGGGAAUCUUCCGCAAUGGGCGAAAGCCUGACGGAGCAACGCCGCGUGAGUGAUGAAGGUCUUCGGAUCGUAAAACUCUGUUAUUAGGGAAGAACAUAUGUGUAAGUAACUGUGCACAUCUUGACGGUACCUAAUCAGAAAGCCACGGCUAACUACGUG